rnacentral:rRNA from 1 species
CGUAUCACUUAAAGCGAUUCAGCGGGUUACGAUUGACGGAGCGAAGCGACGUCAAAGCGUAUACAAAGUCGAGUCGGUUUAAGGAUACGUUCGUUGGGUAGGGGAGCGUUCUGUAAGCCUGUGAAGGUGGCCUGUGAGGGUUGCUGGAGGUAUCAGAAGUGCGAAUGCUGACAUAAGUAACGAUAAAGCGGGUGAAAAGCCCGCUCGCCGGAAGACCAAGGGUUCCUGUCCAACGUUAAUCGGGGCAGGGUGAGUCGACCCCUAAGGCGAGGCCGAAAGGCGUAGUCGAUGGGAAACAGGUUAAUAUUCCUGUACUUGGUGUUACUGCGAAGGGGGGACGGAGAAGGCUAUGUUGGCCGGGCGACGGUUGUCCCGGUUUAAGCGUGUAGGCUGGUUUUCCAGGCAAAUCCGGAAAAUCAAGGCUGAGGCGUGAUGACGAGGCACUACGGUGCUGAAGCAACAAAUGCCCUGCUUCCAGGAAAAGCCUCUAAGCAUCAGGUAACAUCAAAUCGUACCCCAAACCGACACAGGUGGUCAGGUAGAGAAUACCAAGGCGCUUGAGAGAACUCGGGUGAAGGAACUAGGCAAAAUGGUGCCGUAACUUCGGGAGAAGGCACGCUGACACGUAGGUGAAGUGAUUUACUCACGGAGCUGAAGUCAGUCGAAGAUACCAGCUGGCUGCAACUGUUUAUUAAAAACACAGCACUGUGCAAACACGAAAGUGGACGUAUACGGUGUGACGCCUGCCCGGUGCCGGAAGGUUAAUUGAUGGGGUCAGCGCAAGCGAAGCUCCUGAUCGAAGCCCCGGUAAACGGCGGCCGUAACUAUAACGGUCCUAAGGUAGCGAAAUUCCUUGUCGGGUAAGUUCCGACCUGCACGAAUGGCGUAAUGAUGGCCAGGCUGUCUCCACCCGAGACUCAGUGAAAUUGAACUCGCUGUGAAGAUGCAGUGUACCCGCGGCAAGACGGAAAGACCCCGUGAACCUUUACUAUAGCUUGACACUGAACAUUGAGCCUUGAUGUGUAGGAUAGGUGGGAGGCUUUGAAGUGUGGACGCCAGUCUGCAUGGAGCCGACCUUGAAAUACCACCCUUUAAUGUUUGAUGUUCUAACGUGGACCCGUAAUCCGGGUUGCGGACAGUGUCUGGUGGGUAGUUUGACUGGGGCGGUCUCCUCCUAAAGAGUAACGGAGGAGCACGAAGGUUGGCUAAUCCUGGUCGGACAUCAGGAGGUUAGUGCAAUGGCAUAAGCCAGCUUGACUGCGAGCGUGACGGCGCGAGCAGGUGCGAAAGCAGGUCAUAGUGAUCCGGUGGUUCUGAAUGGAAGGGCCAUCGCUCAACGGAUAAAAGGUACUCCGGGGAUAACAGGCUGAUACCGCCCAAGAGUUCAUAUCGACGGCGGUGUUUGGCACCUCGAUGUCGGCUCAUCACAUCCUGGGGCUGAAGUAGGUCCCAAGGGUAUGGCUGUUCGCCAUUUAAAGUGGUACGCGAGCUGGGUUUAGAACGUCGUGAGACAGUUCGGUCCCUAUCUGCCGUGGGCGCUGGAGAACUGAGGGGGGCUGCUCCUAGUACGAGAGGACCGGAGUGGACGCAUCACUGGUGUUCGGGUUGUCAUGCCAAUGGCACUGCCCGGUAGCUAAAUGCGGAAGAGAUAAGUGCUGAAAGCAUCUAAGCACGAAACUUGCCCCGAGAUGAGUUCUCCCUGAGACUUAGAGUCUCCUGAAGGAACGUUGAAGACGACGACGUUGAUAGGCCGGGUGUGUAAGCGCAGCGAUGCGUUGAGCUAACCGGUACUAAUGAACCGUGAGGCUUAACCUU